UGUUUGUUAAUAUGUGAGCAACGCUAAGAAAAUUUUAGUUCAUCAGUUGGCUCCUUCCCAUAGUACGUGAUUGUUGGAAAGCAAAUACUAGUAAUCUAGGUCGAUCAAAUUAAACAUAAUCGAAUCAAAGAACCUGUUUACAGGAAAAAGGUAAGCUUUGCUCCCCUGAACUUUAGCUAUGGGAAUUUUUGUAACAUAGGUUCUGAUCCCAUCUAUCAUCCCAUAAAUUUUCAACUUAGAACACAGCUUGUACGACAGGAAGCAAAAAUGGCAGUUGUUUUUAGGGAUUAAAACAAGCUAUCACUUCUUUUGGUGAAAUAGUUCCGCUGUAGAAAAAUGGACUGAUUAACUUAGUUAUGCGACAUGAGCAUCUGCAUGUAUAGUUUCUCGUUUUCUGGAGAAAUCUCCAGUUCAAUUGAACCUAUGAAAACUCGAUUUCUCUAUGUUCACGAAGAAAUUAUUAAAGGUAGGGAUAGGCAUGAUCUCUUUCUCACCAAAUUUCUAAGACCAAACUCAACUUCGUUUGGAAAGUUAAAAUAAGACAAAUUUUGCAUGAAACUUCCCUAUCACUAUCCGUGCAAAGUUUGUAUUUCUUGUAUCUUGCAAGCAAAUUUGAAUUUGGUCUUGAAAUUUUGUGGAGAUAUAGACCAUGCCUAUACCUACCACUAAUAUUUAUGGAUGAGAGUCAUCUCGCUGGGAUGUACUAGAAAGUAGGGGUGGUCUAUUUUGUUUAUUUUGAAUGAAUGGGUUUAUUGUUGGCUUAUUGUAAAUUGCAUUUCAACUUAUUCCAUUUUUAUUCUCCCGUGUUGCAUUUUGAGCAUAUUAUGUCGUUAUGGUUGCUCUAUUGUUUUUUCUAAAUUGGGUCAUUUCCCUUCUAUUUUCUCCGUCCCAUAAUAUCACAAAAUUUGUUGGACAUGAGACUUGUUCAGAUUCGCCAAUCCUAGGUUGCUAUGGGACAGGGAGAGUAUAAAAUAUUGAACUUUACAUCAUCACAAUCAGAAGCAUAAAAUCGCAUCAGGGAGAGAGGUGAAGGGGAGUAAGAGGCUGACGAGUGGGUCCCACACCUUUUCCACCCGAGUUUGCCAUGAGGGCAAAAGUGGCAAAUAGUUAAGACCAUCUCUUAAGAAAGGGC
rnacentral:sRNA from 1 species